CUUCUCUCCUUGGCUCUGAGGACUUUACCUUCUUGGGGAAAAAAGGGGAUUGCAUUCUUGGCCUUUAUAUUAUUAGAGGUGGGCUCUGGGUAAGGUCUACACAACCAAAUGAGUGUUCCUAUUUCCAUUUUUAUGGAUAGAAGCCUGAGGCCCACAAAGGGAGGAAAUGAUGAUCCAUAUCCCAGAGGGCAGAAUAUCAGGCAACAUUUCCCUCUACCCAGCCCCUCCCCACUGUCCUGUAUUUAAGGUACCCCCAGAUGUGAUACCAAUGGGUGUUUAAGAGAAAGCCCUGGGAUCCGGGAGUCUGAGGAAGGGGGAUUAGGGAUUCCAAGUCUGAGGUGUAAAAAAAAAAAAAAAAAAUGACCAAGGCAAGUCUCAAUCACUUUAAGAGGUUUAUUUUCCAAGGUUAAGGAUGUGGAAUAGAAAAGAAUACAGAACCACGGGAAAAACUGUGGCCCAUGGUUUCUCCAAGGAGGAUCUGGGGACCUCAACAUUUAAAAUGAAAAGGGUGGGUAUUGGGGAUUGAGGAAGGAAUUGUGAAAAGGGUGUGGGUAAAUAAGAGGCAAGCGGUUGCAUCCUUUUGAGUCUUUGAUCAGCCAUUCAAUGAAUACACAAUUUACGUUGGGGGGGUGGGUAGAGAAAUAGUCACACAUUUAUCUAGCUUGGUGAAUCUGCAUUUUUGCAUAAGAUAAAAUAAACAUAGGGCACAGGAAGCAAUCAGAUAUGCAUAUAUCUCAGGCAGAGGGAUGACUUUGAGUUCUGUUCUUUGUUCCAUACCUGUGAAUAUAAGCUAUCAAUUUACAUUGUCAGGGUGAAAUGAAACAGAACUGUUUUAGGGUAAAAAUCUUGGAGCCCACAAUUUGUGGGCAAAUUGUGAGAGAGGUGCGAUGCUUUUUUUUUUUUUUAAAUCUUUGUAGCUAUCUUAUGUAGACACGAAAUGGGAGGCAGGUUUGUGUGACCCAGUUCCCAGACUGACUUUUCCGUUUGGCUUAUUUAGUUUAGGGUCUUGAGAUUUAUUUUCCUUUCACAGGGGCAAGAGGGCCCUGGGAAGAUCAAGGCUGAGCGUCCAGGUUCCACAGAAUGGAGUCACUGAGGGGCAAUUGUAGAAUAAGAGAGUGUGGAAAGUAGAAAAGUUCCUCUUCAGAGCUCGUCUUAGUUUAAAAAUAAAAUAAUAGACACUAGAGAUAAUAGCUUCUUGCUCUAAAGCCCCCUAUCAACUAUUAGUUCUUACACUUUAGCCCACUUAGUUGCUUUGCCUUACUCAGGCAUGUCUGGACAGGCCCCAGCAAGUCUUAGUUCAUAGCUCAUGCCCCUUCCUUAUUUGGAAAUGUUAUUGCUUCUUUAAACCUUUCAUAAGCAAUUUCCUCUCCUUUUUUGUUCUCCCUUGCACUUACCUAUUUAGGAAAGUUUCAGGUUGUUAGCAAAUCAGGUAUCAGUUUAAGAUUGUGAGGUCCAGGUCCAGCCAAUGGAUGCAGGACACAGCAGAAGGAUGACCCAAAUGCAUAAGGGAUAAAUAUGUCUGCUUUUCAUUUGUUCAAGUGUACUCUCAUCAUUGUUCCAUCUGCGAGGAUAUCAGGGGAAAUUCAGCCAGAUAUCGGGCAAAAUUCAGCCAGAUAUUGGGUGAAAUUCACCCCCAAUAUUUCACGUAGGUUCUUUUCUAUAUUCCCUAAGUGUCAACUGGUCUGAGAAAUAAAGGGACAGAGUACAAAAGAGAGAAAUUUUAAAGCUGGGAGUCAGGGGGAGACAUCACAUGUCAGCAGGUUCUGUGAUGCCCCCUGAGCCGCAAAACUAGCAAGUUUUUAUUAGUGAUUUUCAAAAAGGGAGGGAGUGUAUGAAUAGGGUGUGGGUCACAGAGAUCACAUGCUUCACAAGGUAAUAGACUAUCACAAGGCAAAUGGAGGCAGGGCGAGAUCACAGGACCACAGGACUGGGGCAAAAUUAAAAUUGCUAAUGAAGUUUCAGGCAUGCAUUGUCAUUGAUAACAUCUUUAAGGAGACAGGGUUUGAGAGCAGACAACUGGUCUGACCAAAAUUUAUUAGGCGGGAAUUUCCUUGUCCUAAUAAGCCUGGGAGCGCUAUGGGAGACUGGGGCUUGUUUCAUCCCUACAGCUCGACCAUAAAAGACGGCCGCCCACCGAAGCGGCCAU
rnacentral:lncRNA from 10 species